rnacentral:misc_RNA from 1 species
GUAAUAUAUCGUGAUUUUAAAACCUCCAAUAUCCUAUUAGAUGCGGAUUAUAAUGCCAAGCUUUCUGAUUUUGGACUUGCUAAAGAUGGUCCUGAGGGAGAUAAGACACAUGUAUCUACACGUGUCAUGGGAACAUAUGGUUAUGCAGCCCCAGAAUAUGUGAUGACUGGGCAUCUCACAUCAAAGAGUGAUGUCUAUAGUUUUGGUGUAGUUUUACUUGAAAUGAUAACUGGCAGAAGAUCCAUGGAUAAGAACCGACCUAUUGGAGAACAUAACCUUGUGGAAUGGGCUCGGCCACAUCUAGGCGAGAGAAGAAGAUUCUACAGAUUGAUAGACCCUCGGCUUGAGGGCCACUUUUCAAUAAAAGGUGCCCAGAAAGCAGCACAACUGGCUGCACACUGCCUUAGCCGGGAUUCAAAAGCCAGGCCUCUGAUGAGCGAAGUUGUGGAGGUGCUGAAGCCUCUGCCAAAUCUUAAGGACAUGGCAAGCUCAUCAUAUUAUUUCCAGACCAUGCAAGCUGAGCGAGCUGUAUCCAGCCCAAAUGCCAAAAAUAUCAGCCGAACACAAGGAGGAUUUUUGAGGAAUGGACAGCAACAGAGGAGUCUUUCAAUAACAAAUGGUUCCCAUGCAUCUCCUUACCACCAUCAAUACCCUCAUCAAUCGCCGAAACCCAAUGGAAAAACCAUAGCAUGGGGUCAGUAAUUAUCUGCUUUACUCCAACCCUUUUCAUCAUUCAUUUCUUUUUCCCGUUGUUCCCAGUAUAGAUUUAUUUUCUGUGAAAGCGUUUCUUCUUGGACACUGGAAAAAGCAACAGAGGAACAUGUCCGCCCCAUGUUGUGUUUAGAAUGAUGACCCCCCAGCAGGAAGAAUCUUAGGCAGGUGAAGCUUAUGGAGAAAAACUGUCAACACUGUGUUACCACAGAAUGUAUUGAAAUGUUUAAAGAUUAUUUCUCUUUAUGAGCAUUUUAAUACAUUCUGUGGUAACACAGUGUUGAC